CGAUUUGAGAAUGUUGGAAACCUACAACGGUAUUGAGAGAAUGUUCGAAACUAGCCUACAACGGUAAAGAAAAUUCAAAAUGGCAUGGAGCGGGGAAAAGCAUUUGAAGUGAACAUCAUAACCCUUGGCACAUCGAAGAUGAAGAGGCAAAGCAGAAGAUCAGGAAAAAUAGCAAUUGGAUGAGGGCAAAAUUCUUCUUCACCAUUCAUGGCACUCACAUUGGAUUCAUGGGUUGGGUCCAUUUCUCUUGCUGGUAUUAGCACUUCGCAUAGGCCAUUAACAACAGAGGAUUACUGAGCUGCAUCAUCA